GAGAUUGUAGAUUGGAGAUUAUAGGGCGAUGGCGGCGGAUGGAGUAAGGUUCUGAUCAGAAUAAGAUUACUGGUCUGAGAAAACGAAAUGAGGAGAUGGUUCUCAUAGCAUCAAAGCCUACCUUUUUAUAGUCGUAAUGCCACCGCCUUACAUGAGAAAAAAUCGCAUUCAAAGGAGAUCAUUGGGUAUGGAUUUAAGGACUUUAAGAGUGUUAAUUUUGUAACUGGUAGCUAUUCAGAUUGAGAAGGAAGAAGAUGAAACAACGCUCGAACUCAGGUUACGUGUCCAUCUCAGAUGGCGAAGAUGUAACCGGA
rnacentral:lncRNA from 1 species